rnacentral:rRNA from 1 species
UACGGAGGCAGCAGUGAGGAAUAUUGGUCAAUGGGCGAGAGCCUGAACCAGCCAAGUCGCGUGAAGGAUGACUGUCUUAUGGAUUGUAAACUUCUUUUAUACGGGAAUAACAAGAGCCACGUGUGACUCCCUGCAUGUACCGUAUGAAUAAGCAUCGGCUAACUCCGUGCCAGCAGCCGCGGUAAU